GCUCCGGCUUUUCCCACCCACGGGCAGGGCGUUCCCGCCAGCCCGCUUCCUGCAGCCGAAGGCCGGGGCGGAGGGCCCCGGGGCCUGGCAGGCCGGGUUCCUGGCUUUCUCUGCGUUUCCUGAGCCGGACGACCGGGGGAUGGGACCCGCGGCGCAAAGCUCCUUCCCCGGAACGCGGCCAGGAAGCCGCGUCCUUGUGAACUCCGGGUCCUCCUCUGCCGGGAACGCGCCGAUGAGAACACUGAGGCUGACAAAGGAGGGGCAAGCGCCAGGUUGCGUGGAGAUCAGAGGACCGCUUAGAGGAUGCCAUUCUAACUCAAGUCGUCCUGCUUAUCAUAAGAGACUUUACCCACUGGGCCAGGAAUCUGACAACCAGAGAUCCUGUGGGUUCUUCAUCAUACAGCUAUGUAACUCAGCUAGGAAUUUGACUCCAGGCUCCCGUUUCCAGACCUCAGGCCAUUCCAUUCAUUACACUGCCUCCCAGCUCUAGUUCAGUAACCCGGAAGGCUAAAACCUUACCUCAUUUCUUAUGAGUCCCCCAGAUGCCCACGGCACACAGCAGUUAACUCGAAGAAGACUAUGGAACCUGGAAUCCAAGCUAAAACUUUCCACAACCUUAAAAACUAGUGAAAAUUCAACCUCUCUUGGACUUUUUCUGAUCAUGGCGUUCUCCAUAUUUUCUUCCCUUGUGAACAAAAGUCUGGUUUAAACUGCAAAUGUAAAGCCAGUAAGUAAAUGGCUCAUCCCACUCAAACAUAAGGACCUGACUUGCUCACGCCAGCACCCAGAAAAAAAGCUGGCUGUACACCUUGAGUUCAAGGCCAACCUGGUCUACAAAGCUAUUCCAGUACAGCUAGGGCUACACAGAGAAACCCUGUUUCAAAAAACAAACAAAAACGACAACGAUUACUACAACAAAAAGGCUGGGUGUGACUGCCUGAACCUGGAAUGCUAUCACCAGGAAGUAGAGACAAACAGAUUCCUGAAGCUCAUUGGCUAAUCUGCCUAGCUAAACCAAUGAGCUUCAGUUUCACUGAGAGACCCUAGCUCUAAAAAUAGUGACUGAGUGACUGAGGAGGGAUGUUGACUUUUGGCCUCAUAUGUAUGUACAC
rnacentral:lncRNA from 1 species